rnacentral:sRNA from 1 species
GCCGGGGGCGGUGGCCUGCGCCUGUCAUCCCAGCAGCUCAGGAGGCUGGGGCAGGAGGAUCGCGAGUUCAAAGCCAGCCUCAGCGAUUUAGCGAGGCCCUGAGCAACUCAGUGAGACCCUGACUCUA